GCGGCGUUUGCUUCUUCUAGUAUUUUUUAAAAGGAGAAUAUGCCCACUGAACAAAGAGGAACGAGAGCUCUUCUCAGGACGAUUCGAUUAGGGCUCUUAUUUCGCCGCUCAAUUUUCCCUCUCGCCGGUCGCCGGGCAGUCUCCAUCUCUCACCUCCGUCUCUCGCGCUCGACCCUGUUCUCUGCACACGAAAACCAGGUAAAAUUUCGUGGUUUAGUUUGGUUUAUCUUCCGUUCUGGCGAGGCUGAUUGUGGUUGGUGUUGUGGAUCUGGGAUACGAGUAUGAAUUUGAGGUUGUGCGGGUUGAUCGCAAGCAAAAAGAGGGAAGGUGUAUUUCGUGUAUAAUUGGUUCCGUGCUUUGCUUAUUGGAAUUGUGUGCAGAAGCAUGAUGAAUUACAAGAGACAAAUAAAUGAAAAAUAAAAAUACAGCCAGUCCCGGUCCAACCCAGGAACUGAUCACCCCAGAUUUUCUUUGUUUUUGUAAUUUAUGUUCCUGUGGUGUUUAACGGCAUUUGCUGAGGAAUGACUGAAACUCGAUAGUGCGAGUAUUGACGUCUGGAAAUUUAUGUUCAUGGAGUCCUCUAUUAUCGUUUUUCUCAUGUCUAUGUUCUGCGUGCUCCAUUUUCACUCUCGGGCGGUGACAGGGGUGGUGAAUGCAGAUGGUCGCCAGUGGAGAGGCCGGUGGAGCAAUAUAAAUCUGUUUAUUUUCGGGUGAAGUUACUUGUAUUCUAGUGUUCACACCAAGAUUUGUGUGCACUUAGUCUGCACAAUGAAGAAACAUCAAGCCACUAGGGGUUGCCCUAGUGGCCACCAUUCCUGCAUGGGAAUUGGGAGAUGGGGAUCCCCGCCUCUAGGAUUGGGGGCUUAUGGGUUUAUUCUCAGUUUCUGUAAAUAGAAGCUUGUUCAUUGUACCCCAAAAAAAGACCAGGAGAGAAUAAUGAGAGAUAAUAAAAAAUGUAGGAAAAUGAAGGCGCUAGGAAGAUAGAAGUUGUAUUGGUCGAGUUUCGUUUAGUUGGUGUUCAUAUAGUUUAGGAAAUUGUGUUAGUGCAAGUUACAUGUAACUUUUAUAAUGUGAUUAAUGAGGCAUUUAAUGUACGGUUAGAUCUAUAUUGGAACAGUUUGAUCUUUUGUGUUGCGGAAUCUUUGUACAUUUGAACAUGAUUACAUGUAUAUUCAUGAAGGGAAAAGGCAUUAUUUGAUUCGUUUUCUAUAUAUCUCAUGUUUAAAUGCCUCAA